CCUGGCGCACCGUUCUGGCGUCUCUCUCAUCUCUUAUCCAAAUUUGGGCCUUUCAAAACAAAGUAGGGAACAGCUGCAGUGUCUUGGAAGGAAGGAAAGUCACCUUGAGCGAUGAAAGAGGAACAGAAAAAAACACAGGCGAGCAAGGUUGAGAGAGAGAGAGAGAGAGAGAGAGAGAGAGAGAGGCUCCUGUGCAAGAUGACAUCAGAACAUUAUAUGACAAAUAAAGGGACAAGCACUGCAUUGCUGCAGUUUAGUCAUUGCACUCAGUCCACUGUACUAUAAUGUCACAUACCCUAGCUACCUUAUAACAAUGUUGUUUGUUAAACACUUGCGAAUCGUCCAGAACAAUUAUUGGUCAUGUUCUGAGUCCCCCGGUUACCACUGAAGUGAGAAUUACCUCAUAAUAAAAACAGAUAGCACAUGUUUUUGACAUGAAAACAGGCUGCUCCAAAAGGGGAACUGGAUUCCAUGGUGGCCAUAUUGUGAUUUCUCUGUGGUGUCACGGUAUCGCGUAUUUUUAAACUGUGAAUAACGUUUUUCAUAUUGUGGAUUUCAUUUUUCAUUUCAUUUUUUCUACUACAUUUUUUCAGUACUUCAAUCUAACAGGAAUAAGCUCGACUAAAAAUCAGAGAAUGUCAGAAGUUUGGGAUCGUUUGACACUUGAGCAAAGGAGCACGUCUGCUGUUAGCUGAUUUAGUAUGGCCUAAGAAUGCUACAGUUACAACAAAUUGUAAUCCUUCCACAAGUGGCACUCAAGGGGGAGCACAGCCAGUAACAAAUUACACAUAAUAAGGGCAUACCUACACUAGCUACAGGACACAAUUGACUCUCAGAGACACUCAAACAUGCGGAAUGAUUAAGCCACUCGACAGCUUGCCAAUAACAGUCAAUUCAGAAUUUUCAUUCACUGACUUCACCGUCAUUCAAUAAGCAAAGUCACACAUGUUAAAGAUCAGAAUGUUUGGAUGGUGACCCUGAGCGAACAAAAAUAAUAGCUGCAGCUCACAUCUGUAUUUUGUAUUGGUAUUAUGCAUAAAGCUUUAUAAUGUGAUAAUCUGUAUUAUAAUGUCAAAUAAUGGUCACUAAUUCACUGAUAUUUUCAAUUGUGGGGAUUCUGGAACAUAACCCUGUGAUAAGGGAUUGUUGUCCUCCAAAUGAAAGCAACAAUGAGCAGGCCCUCAACCGCCCUUUUUCAUGGUGGAUGCUCAAAACUAACAGCAAAUUUAAGCCAAGCUCUGCCUCCAUUAAAUGGCCCAUCUGUUGUGGACAUUUUAUCCAAUAGGGGACUCAUUUCGACAAAUUAUAUCGUAGAAUUUUGUCAACGUACAAUUCACAGAAAAAGAUGACAAGACCUAGUUUCUAUUUGCACUGUCAAAAGAAUUAACAAUUUCACAUAGUUUCGGAUCGUUUUUGUAGUUUAGUUACAACAGACUGAAGCUGUUUCUAAUAAGAUCUUAUUUAGCUACACAAGAGGGUCGAUAGAUUAUAACAUCUCUCUCUCUUUCUGUCUCUCUCUCUCUCGUUUGCUGCACUGCAGACAACGUUCGAUGCGAUUACAUUACACAUUGCACAGCAGGACUUUCACGCCGUUAUGGCUGAAUGUGCUGCUCUAGCGUCUCCCUGUGUUCAAACAUUAGAACGUCACCUUGACCCAGUGGCAGAAACCCACGACGCAACAAACCUGAAGUGGUGGAGAAAAGCAAAAAAUGACGACCUACGGCCAAGUGACUGGUUACAAAAAGCCAAGGAAAAAAAAAGUUAUAAUUCCACGAUGCUGGUUGAGCUUGGUCCCGUGAGCCUUCAUCUUACCAGCUUCUCCCAUCUUCGUCACCUUUUUUCAUCACCAUGAGCCCUAAUACCGCAGCUUGGAAAAUUCCACACUGCAGCAAAGAGACGGGUGGCAGAGGAGAGAGAAAGAGAGAGCGAGAGCAAAAAGAGAGACAGAGAGAUGCAGGUAGGAUGGGGGUGGGUGGGACAAGAUGAGAAUUUUUGAAAACGGUAAGCGAUGAUGUGAAUGUAUCGGGAUGAUGUAAAGAGAGAACUAGUGCGGUGCUUGUGCGGUGCUGAAUACGACCAUAUAAAGAGGAUGAGGACAAAGUAAAACUUAAGCCAAAUAUGACCCUUGAUUAUAUUUCAACAUAAAAUUCAUUUAAAUAGCCCACAGCCAUGUGCUAAAACGGGCACAAAAAGUAGGAUGGCAAAUUGCUGCAGGAAAUAAGGUGCCCGGAACACAAUGGACAGAGGGUGAGCUGCAUUUUGAAAUUGCACACAAUGGGAUGGAGGGGGAGACCGAGAGUGAGGGAGGGUGGAGUGAUGUGGCUCUCUGGACGCACUUAAGCUCUGCAGAAACGUGCAUCAAUCAUCACGUGCGUUGAGAUUAAACAGAAAAGCACUGCAGUGCCCCAAUACUGCUGCACCCCCACAAACGCAAUCUGUGAUGCUACAGCCUCAUCCGCACUGUGAAUCAUGCCACAGCGACCACAGCAUCACGUAGUGUGCACCUGCACAGUUCAAUACAACAUGCUGACUUGUGCCGCUCAAAAUAUUGGAAACGCCUCAGUGCAUCUGGAAUGUUCUAUAUCGACGCAAUGUAAAUGUCACAGAUUGUGACCAUAUAAGGGGUACAGUGGAUAUUAAAAGUCUUCACCCCACUGUUCAACUGCCAUGUUUUUUGUAAUAUAAACAAAUGAGACCAAGAUCAUUUCAAAAAUGUUCCCACCACACUGUUACUGUCAAAUAAGCUGAAUAACAUGGCUUCUAAUCUUUCAAGAGUGGAAAAAUAAACAAUAGAAAUGAGGCGGGUGUACACACCCUCAUCUAACUUGGAUGUGGCUGUGUUCAGAAUCAACCAACCACAUUAAUACUCAAGUUAAAUGGGAGUCGACACCCGUCACCAUUUAAGAGGCUUUUGAUUAACCCCAAAUAAUUGUCAGAUGUUCGAGCAGGCUUUUCGUUAUUUGUUACGACGGCCACAGUUUCAGCUGAGGAAAAACAAUUCUCUUGACGCUGCCACCAUUAUUCUUCAUUUUAGGUCUGGUGGGCUUAUGGUUGUGUUUGCGCAAAAAAUACCUUUUGCAAUUACGGCCAAAAAGUUCAACCUUUCCUCCAUCCAUACAUAACACAUUUUCAUUUUUCACCUGAAAUGUACUGUAUUUGGGGUUAAUCAGAGGCAAUGGAAAUGUCUUUUAACAUGACUUUAAUUGUAAUUGGUUAAUGCUACAAACAAACAAACAAAUAAAUAAAUUAAAAGCCGCAUCCCAUUUAUAAGAGUGUGCACACUUGUGCAACCACAUUUUUUCAGCUGUUUUCUUUUAGCCUCUCCUCUACAAAA